AACUUUUAGCAACGGAUCUCUUGGCUCUCGCAUCGAUGAAGAACGCAGCGAAAUGCGAUAAGUAAUGUGAAUUGCAGAAUUCAGUGAAUCAUCGAAUCUUUGAACGCACCUUGCGCUCCUUGGUAUUCCGAGGAGCAUGCCUGUUUGAGUGUCAUGGUA
rnacentral:rRNA from 3 species